rnacentral:lncRNA from 1 species
GGAAUGGGGUGUUUCACAAGGCGCCGGUGCAAGCUAUAAAAGCGAGGCACCUCUUGCAAAGAGCAGCACUGGACUGGAGGAAGUGCCAUCAGCUCUCCCAGCCAAGGCGCCGACAUCAAGGCUGUCAUCCAGCUCCUACAGCAAGGGAUCCAAACUACAGAAGUCCUACUGAGAUGGGAAAAAUCACCAUUUACGAGCAUGGCAACUUCCAGGGCUUAAGCAAAGAAUUCACCAGGAGCAUUGCCAAUCUCAAAGAUCUGAUCACUGAAGAUCUGCACCAUCCCCAGAUCACUCUCUACGAACAUAUCAACUAUCAAGGGAAGAGCAGGGUGAUCAAAGAACCAACCAACCUGGCUAGGGGACAUGACAACGACAUCGUAUCUUCUCACAAAGUCCAGAGAGGUGCCUGGCUGCU